rnacentral:rRNA from 1 species
UACGUAGGGGGCAAGCGUUGUCCGGAAUCAUUGGGCGUAAAGCGCGCGUAGGCGGUCCGGUAAGUCCGCUGUGAAAGUCGGGGGCUCAACCCUCGGAUGCCGGUGGAUACUGUCGGGCUUGAGUGCGGAAGAGGCGAGUGGAAUUCCUGGUGUAGCGGUGAAAUGCGCAGAUAUCAGGAGGAACACCAAUUGCGAAGGCAGCUCGCUGGGACGUUACUGACGCUGAUGCGCGAAAGCAUGGGUAGCGAACAGG